UACAGAGACCUCAAGCGUUAUCCGGAAUCAUUGGGCGUAAAGCGUUCCGAUCGGUUGUUUAGUGUGUCUGAAGUGAAAGACCGGAGCUCAACUCCGUGUUUGCUUUAGAAACUGCUAGACUAGAGUAGUAAAGAGGUGGCUAGAACUCUGCAAGUAGCGGUGAAAUGCGUUGAUAUGCAGGGGAAUACCGAAAGCGAAGGCAGGCCACUGGGUACUUACUGACACUGCUAGGACGAAAGCGUGGGGAGCGAAUAGG
rnacentral:rRNA from 1 species